rnacentral:rRNA from 1 species
GAUGAACGCUGGCGGCGUGCCUAAUACAUGCAAGUCGAGCGAACAGACGAGGAGCUUGCUCCUCUGACGUUAGCGGCGGACGGGUGAGUAACACGUGGAUAACCUACCUAUAAGACUGGGAUAACUUCGGGAAACCGGAGCUAAUACCGGAUAAUAUAUUGAACCGCAUGGUUCAAUAGUGAAAGACGGUUUUGCUGUCACUUAUAGAUGGAUCCGCGCCGCAUUAGCUAGUUGGUAAGGUAACGGCUUACCAAGGCAACGAUGCGUAGCCGACCUGAGAGGGUGAUCGACCACACUGGAACUAAGACACGGUCCAGACUCCUACGGGAGGAAGCAGUAGGGAAUCUUCCGCAAUGGGCGAAAGCCUGACGGAGCAACGCCGCGUGAGUGAUGAAGGUCUUCGGAUCGUAAAACUCUGUUAUUAGGGAAGAACAAAUGUGUAAGUAACUAUGCACGUCUUGACGGUACCUAAUCAGAAAGCCACGGCUAACUACGUG